rnacentral:rRNA from 1 species
AAUGAACGUUGGCGGCAUGGAUUAGGCAUGCAAGUCGAGCGAGAAGAGUUUUGAAGCUUGCUUUAGAACUCGGACAGCGGCGAAAGGGAGAGUAACGCGUAGUUAUGUGCCCUAGGGUCCGGAAUAGCCACGGGAAACUGUGGGUAAUGCCGGAUAAUAUCCCCGGAUCAAAGGUGUGAUUCCGCCCUAGGAGCAGACUGCGUCCUACUAGCUAGUUGGUGGGGUAAUGGCCCACCAAGGCAAUGAUGGGUAGCGGGUGUGAGAGCAUGACCCGUCUCACUGGGACUGAGACACUGCCCAGACACCUACGGGUGGCUGCAGUCGAGAAUCUUCGGCAAUGGGCGAAAGCCUGACCGAGCGAUGCCGCGUGCGGGAUGAAGGCCUUCGGGUUGUAAACCUCUUUCGUAGAGGAGGAAGGGGCCGUACAGAGCGGUCUUUGACCUAUUCUAGGAAGAAGCUUGGGCUAAGUUCGUGCCAGCAGCCGCAGUAAAAC